UACGUAGGGUGCAAGCGUUGUCCGGAAUUAUUGGGCGUAAAGAGCUCGUAGGCGGUCUGUUGCGUCGGCUGUGAAAACCCGGGGCUCAACCCCGGGCCUGCAGCCGAUACGGGCAGACUAGAGUUCGGUAGGGGAGUCUGGAAUUCCUGGUGUAGCGGUGAAAUGCGCAGAUAUCAGGAGGAACACCGGUGGCGAAGGCGGGACUCUGGGCCGAUACUGACGCUGAGGAGCGAAAGCGUGGGGAGCGAACAGG
rnacentral:rRNA from 1 species